rnacentral:rRNA from 1 species
AUACGUAGGUGGCAAGCGUUAUCCGGAUUUACUGGGCGUAAAGGGCGUGUAGGCGGUUUAGCAAGUCAGAAGUGAAAUUCCCGGGCUUAACUUGGGCGCUGCUUCUGAAACUGCUUUACUUGAGUGCUGGAGAGGAUAGUGGAAUUCCUAGUGUAGCGGUAAAAUGCGCAGAUAUUAGGAGGAACACCGGUGGCGAAGGCGGCUAUCUGGACAGUAACUGACGCUGAGGCGCGAAAGCACGGGGAGCAAACAGGAUUAGAUACCCUGGUAGUCCGUGCCGUAAACGAUGAAUACUAGGUGUAGGGGGUAUCGACUCCCUCUGUGCCGCAGUUAACACAUUAAGUAUUCCACCUGGGGAGUACGGCAGCAAGGUUGAAACUCUAAUGAAAUUACGGGG